GGGGAAUUUUCCGCAAUGGGCGCAAGCCUGACGGAGCAAUACCGCGUGGGGGAGGAAGGCCCUUGGGUUGUAAACCCCUUUUGUCAGGGAAGAACACAAUGACGGUACCUGACGAAUCAGCCUCGGCUAACUCCGUGCCAGCAGCCGCGGUAAGACGGAGGAGGCAAGCGUUAUCCGGAAUUAUUGGGCGUAAAGCGUCCGCAGGUGGCCGUUCAAGUCUGCUGUUAAAGCCCAGGGCUCAACCCUGGAGAAGCAGUGGAAACUGGAAGGCUAGAGUGCGGUAGGGGCAGAGGGAAUUCCCGGUGUAGCGGUGAAAUGCGUAGAGAUCGGGAAGAACACCAGUGGCGAAAGCGCUCUGCUGGACCGCAACUGACACUCAUGGACGAAAGCUAGGGGAGCGAAUGGGAUUAGAUACCCCAG
rnacentral:rRNA from 1 species